GUGAACCAGGGAGGGGCUCCCGAGAGCAGCCGGGCGUGAACCGCCGAGUCGACACCUCGGCCCCGACCACCCAAAGAACCCGCAGAGAGUCCCAAGGGUGAUUUCUUGCCUGCGAUUGAUAUUUCGUUUCCCCACGUGGUCAGUCCAGCUAGCCCCCGCUCCUGGAGCCCCUCAUACCCAAGGGCCCCGCUGUCUGGCAGCCAUCCAGAGACUGCAGGUGCUCUGCAGCCACCAGACGCCUUCAGCAUAACAAAGCCAUGUGGCCGCAGCCUCAGGUGGCCGUCAGAUGACUGAAAAUUAUGGGUGGUAUUUAACAAAUAAAAUCCCCUCCCAUUCAAUGCUAAUGGAACCACAUGCAAGAGAAAUGUCACAAGACUUGAGAAGGGAAGCAUUUUUUACACAACAAAGGUCAAGGCUACAAGAAAAUUAGUAAAGCGAAUCAGCCAGAAUACAGCAAGCGAAUGCGAUUCAAAAACUCAAAAACGAUGGACUUCUGGUAAAGUUCUCUCAGACCUCCAGGCCAUCCAUGGAAGUCAACACCUCAACAUGACGGUUUUGUAAUGAGAAGAGUUGAGGAAAAUUGCCAUGCAAGUUCAUCACAGUUAGCUAAAGCAGUAGAAAGCCUGACGGGGGGGGGGGGUGACUGUUACCCGUGGCACAGUGUGGCAUAUGCUGCAGGAGGGUGGCACGCAAGGGUUUCGCCCACGAAGGAGACCAAUGCCAAAGCCAAGGUGAUGAAAUCAAGACAAAUCUUUUCGGAACGGAUGGCGGCCAAAUUGCAUGGCGUCACAAGGGCAAGGAGCACAAAGAAAAAUGCAAGGUACCCCCAGUAAAGCCUGUGGGGGUGUAUGAACACUGCAAGUGUCGGGGAAUUGCAGUUCACUGGUGACAUCAUGAAUUCACAGGUCUACUGAAAGAGGAGAUGGUGCCAUCUCUGCAUGCCCUGGGUCGCCAGGCACUCCUUCAACAUGACAGUGACCCAAAACUUACAUCCAAGGCCACUGCUUCAUUUCUGAGGAUGGACAGGAUCAAAGUGAUGGCAGUAGCAUGUCACCCAACGCCAACCCAACAGAACACCUACAUGGAGUUCUGAAAAGA